rnacentral:rRNA from 1 species
AGAGUUUGAUCAUGGCUCAGGACGAACGCUGGCGGCGUGCCUAAUACAUGCAAGUCGAGCGCAGGAAGCCGACGGAACCCUUCGGGGGGAAGUCGAUGGAAUGAGCGGCGGACGGGUGAGUAACACGUAAAGAACCUGCCUCUAAGACUGGGAUAACCACGAGAAAUCGGGGCUAAUACCGGAUAGGUCAUCGAACCGCAUGGUUCGAGGAUGAAAGGCGCGUAUGCGUCACUUAGAGAUGGCUUUGCGGUGCAUUAGCUAGUUGGUGGGGUAAUGGCCCACCAAGGCGACGAUGCAUAGCCGACCUGAGAGGGUGAUCGGCCACACUGGGACUGAGACACGGCCCAGACUCCUACGGGAGGCAGCAGUAGGGAAUCUUCCACAAUGGACGAAAGUCUGAUGGAGCAACGCCGCGUGAACGAUGAAGGUUUUCGGAUCGUAAAGUUCUGUUGUAAGGGAAGAACAAGUACCGGAGGAAAUGCCGGUACCUUGACGGUACCUUGCGAGAAAGCCACGGCUAACUACGUGCCAGCAGCCGCGGUAAUACGUAGGUGGCAAGCGUUGUCCGGAAUUAUUGGGCGUAAAGCGCGCGCAGGCGGUCUCUUAAGUCUGAUGUGAAAGCCCCCGGCUCAACCGGGGAGGGCCAUUGGAAACUGGGGGACUUGAGUAUAGGAGAGAAGAGUGGAAUUCCACGUGUAGCGGUGAAAUGCGUAGAGAUGUGGAGGAACACCAGUGGCGAAGGC